AUAAUAAAAAAUAAUUAAAUAGUCCACUCCAACGUGCCUCUAGAGUGUUGAUUAUACAAAAUAAACGUAGGAGUACACUAAAAUAGAAAAAGACAGUGCACUACUCUGAAACUAAUUGCUCCUCGCUUGCAUUCGCUGGUCUAUUGGUCCAAUUGUAAAGUUUUGAAACUCUAUUAUCUCCCCUGAAUAGAGUUUGCAGUGCCUUGUCAUGCAAAUAGCUUGCUUGCAAGGAACGUUUGGAAAUUUUACGAACAUUUUUAGUUUUUAAUUCUUUUAGGAAAUAGUCUUGCCUAGAUUUAAUCUUUACGUCGGAGUUGCAUCAUAAAUUCUACUCGGAUUCAAACGACACAAUGUCAAUGAUUUUAUAAAAGUAAAAGCAUAUUGUGUAUUGGCCUAUUGGGUUUACACUUUUACAGGUUCAUUUAACUUCGACAGACAAUUGGACAGGCCAAUUCCAUUGAUAUGACAACUUCAAAAAAGUUUUUCGAAGCUAGAAAACAUCAUUUUUUUUCAAUUUUUUCAGGGAUACUUUGUUUUCUGCUCUCUAGACUUCCACUCACGGCUCUAGUGCUCCACCCCUAGAAUAUAGACCCUACUGGGGUUUGGUGACACUUUGUGUUGCUUCAGUCACCUGCUCGCGACUCACCCCCCUAAAAUUUCUGGCACCACCCCGGUAAAAAAUAUGAAAAUCCGUCUAUGGCUGGCGAUGCUCCUUAGUAUUUACUGUGUAUCAACUCCAGACAAUUUAAUACUCAAUGGGUAGUGUAAUGCCAGUAAAUG